rnacentral:rRNA from 1 species
GACGUAGGGCGCGAGCGUUGUCCGGAUUUAUUGGGCGUAAAGAGCUCGUAGGCGGCUUGUCGCGUCGACUGUGAAAUCCCGCGGCUCAACUGCGGGUCUGCAGUCGAUACGGGCAGGCUAGAGUUCGGUAGGGGAGACUGGAAUUCCUGGUGUAGCGGUGAAAUGCGCAGAUAUCAGGAGGAACACCGGUGGCGAAGGCGGGUCUCUGGGCCGAUACUGACGCUGAGGAGCGAAAGCAUGGGGAGCGAACGGG